GAAAAGAAAAAGAAAUUCACCUAGCAUUCUUGGGGUUCAUCCCCAAAUAAGGCAAACAAACAACAAAAACCCAGAACAUUUAAGUGGGCUCAGAAAAAAAUAAAAGAAGGUGAGAAAAAAUAAAGAAGAUUCAAUUAGGCUGCGUUCCAUUCUGAGUAGUAUCUGGUGGCUAUGCAAACGGCCAUUUCCUAACCUUUCUUCCUAAGGUGUGGACUGGAUGCAGAUGGUAUCGCCUACCUCCUUGCUGUAAGAAGCAGGUCAGUGAGCAGCCCCAGACGCUGCAGACUCCUACCUAACAAACGCCAGCCAUGACGACGGCAGCAGCCGAUUGUGAUGAUGACGGUGACAGAAGCAGGAAGAGAGAUUGUCGAAAUGUCAUUUUAUUAUUAUUAUUAUUACAUUGAUGUGGGCCAAGGGGGCAUGGGUGCAGACCACAGUGACCAUGUGGAGGUCAGAGGACAGCUCUGGGAGUUGAUGUUGGAAAGCACUUACACCUGGAAGGGUCCAAAGGUACCAGGCUGGAUAAGGGCAGGGCUGGAGUCCACGAAGUCAGAGCUCAGGCAGUCAGAGGACAGAUGGAGAAGCUGAGGACUCCCAUCUUGAACCAAAGCAAACAAAGAGAACACAUGCAAAAUGGCGUGAGUCUUUCAUCUUUCAAAGCUUCCCUCCGGUGAUACACUUCCUGCAAGAAAGCCACACCAACUAAACCUUCCAAGACCAUCAUCCAUGGGGACAGUUCAAAUGCUUAAGACAAUGGAGCAUAUUUGCUUUUUGUUCCUGUGUGUCAUGGUUUCUGGUCUGUGUAGCCCUAAUAGUUUUAGAACUUGUUUUGUAGACCAGGCUGGCUCUGCCUCCCCAGGGCUGAGAUUAAAGGUCUACAUCACCAC